GACGAACGCUGGCGGCGUGCUUAACACAUGCAAGUCGUACGGUAAGGCCCUUUCGGGGGUCCCCGAGUGGCGAACGGGUGAGUAACACGUGAGUAACCUGCCCACAACUUUGGGAUAACGCUAGGAAACUGGUGCUAAUACUGGAUAUGUGCUCCUGCUGCAUGGUGGGGGUUGGAAAGCUCCGGCGGUUGUGGAUGGACUCGCGGCCUAUCAGCUUGUUGGUGGGGUAGUGGCCUACCAAGGCGGCGACGGGUAGCCGGCCUGAGAGGGUGACCGGCCACAUUGGGACUGAGAUACGGCCCAGACUCCUACGGGAGGCAGCAGUGGGGAAUAUUGCACAAUGGGCGCAAGCCUGAUGCAGCAACGCCGCGUGCGGGAUGACGGCCUUCGGGUUGUAAACCGCUUUCAGCAGGGACGAAGCUUUUUGUGACGGUACCUGCAGAAGAAGCACCGGCUAACUACGUG
rnacentral:rRNA from 1 species